GCAGUCGACGAUGAAGCCCAGCUUGCUGGGUGGAUUAGUGGCGAACGGGUGAGUAACACGUGAGUAACCUGCCCUUAACUCUGGGAUAAGCCUGGGAAACUAGGUCUAAUACCGGAUAGGAGCGCCUACCGCAUGGUGGGUGUUGGAAAGAUUUAUCGGUUUUGGAUGGACUCGCGGCCUAUCAGCUUGUUGGUGAGGUAAUGGCUCACCAAGGCGACGACGGGUAGCCGGCCUGAGAGGGUGACCGGCCACACUGGGACUGAGACACGGCCCAGACUCCUACGGGAGGCAGCAGUGGGGAAUAUUGCACAAUGGGCGAAAGCCUGAUGCAGCGACGCCGCGUGAGGGAUGACGGCCUUCGGGUUGUAAACCUCUUUCAGUAGGGAAGAAGCGAAAGUGACGGUACCUGCAGAAGAAGCACCGGCUAACUACGUGCCAGCAGCCGCGGUAAUACGUAGGGUGCGAGCGUUAUCCGGAAUUAUUGGGCGUAAAGAGCUCGUAGGCGGUUUGUCGCGUCUGUCGUGAAAGUCCGGGGCUUAACCCCGGAUCUGCGGUGGGUACGGGCAGACUAGAGUGCAGUAGGGGAGACUGGAAUUCCUGGUGUAGCGGUGGAAUGCGCAGAUAUCAGGAGGAACACCGAUGGCGAAGGCAGGUCUCUGGGCUGUAACUGACGCUGAGGAGCGAAAGCAU
rnacentral:rRNA from 1 species